rnacentral:lncRNA from 1 species
UUGAUGUGAGCCAGGAAGACUUUUACCAAAAGUUUUUGCCAAAAGCUGUGCCCUUUUUACCCCUGAUGAGAGCAGAACUUCCUGGGGGACCAUUUGUUACCUGUGGCGCAGAAGCCUUGUGUACCAAAUGAGCUGCAUCCACUCCGACCAGAGCGAUACACUGGAUGAUAAAAAGAUAUCACCUCCCUGAAACAGAUGCUUCAUUUUAUGAUAGAAACAGAGACGCUGAAGCCUGCAGGUGCCGGGCUGACACGCGCUCUGCAGAGAAUCAUUAGAGCCUCCUUAGAGAACUGGGUUUACUCUGUGUUUAAUCAGCCCCAGGCAGAAGAAAUGGCUUCAUUUCAGCUCGACGAGAGCCAGAUCACAAAAGGAAGAUAGAUGGCCAAUACGGCUCAUCACUAUAAGCAUAUUGUCUUAAUUUGAAGGAACAGCCUGGCACCCGUGCUAAUCAGGAAAGAAAGUGCAAUAUGGCUAGCACUGAAGGCCAGUCAGUUUAACUCUCAGUGUACCCCUUAAGGAGAAGCUCUCAUUUAUUUUCUUAAUUAAUAUUUUAAGGGAAGUGAGAAUCACAAAACACAUUACUCAAUCACUUAAGAAGUUCCUUGGCUUAGAAUUAAAGAUGCUCCAGGAAAGACUUUUUAUACCUGAAAACUGUGAAUCUCUACCUAGAAAAAAGUCUUAAAGCCGGUGAAUAAAGUGGCUUAGGAAGAUGAGUGUAAGGCCAUUAUCAUGGACUUUUUCCCCAGCUGCAGAGGUCAAAGUUUGGAGUGCAACUAGAGAGGUUAGCAGUUCACUUUUCCCAGACCGCCUGGCUUCUCAUAGCUUAAUCUCUGGGCACAGCUGCUGUGAGCACACAGUCCCUGGGACUCAUAUCUUGCCCUGCUCCUGGCCUGAUGACAAGACUGGGAGGAACUGUGGGCAGGUAAGGCCAAAGGGAACCUCAGACCAAUAUUUCUCUGGAGGGCAGAGGGACAAACAGAAUCCAGAGGUUGGGAUCUACCUUGGGGACAAUGUCUCAGAGUCCAAUGGUUGCAAUGAGAUGUGUUGUGAGUCAGAGCUAGGGAGGGAAACAGCAGGCACAGGGGAUGUUGAAAGGUCAGCCAGGCAACGGAAACCAGGGGUCAGGAAGAAUUCUGAGCUAUGAUAUCAGUUGGCAUGCAUGGU